AGAGUUUGAUCCUGGCUCAGAACGAACGCUGGCGGCGUGCUUAACACAUGCAAGUCGAACGAGAAAGUUUCUUCGGAAACGAGUAAAGUGGCGCACGGGUGAGUAACGCGUAGAUAACCUGUCCAAGUGAUCGGGAUAGCCCUUCGAAAGGGGGGAUUAAUACCGGAUACGUUGAUUGUUUUUAAGGACGAUCAAGAAAGGUGGCCUCUAUUUAUAAGCUAUCACACAUGGAGGGGUCUGCGUACCAUUAGCUAGUUGGUGAGGUAAGGGCUCACCAAGGCUACGAUGGUUAACGGGUCUGAGAGGAUGAUCCGUCACACUGGCACUGAAACACGGGCCAGACUCCUACGGGAGGCAGCAGUGAGGAAUAUUGCGCAAUGGGGGAAACCCUGACGCAGCGACGCCGCGUGGGUGAGGAAGGCUUUCGGGUCGUAAAACCCUGUCAGGUGGGAAGAAAUGUCAUAUGGUUAAUAUCUAUAUGACUUGACGGUACCAUCAAAGGAAGCACCGGCUAACUCCGUGCCAGCAGCCGCGGUAAUACGGAGGGUGCAAGCGUUGUUCGGAAUCACUGGGCGUAGUAAAGCGCGCGUAGGCGGCUUAUUAAGUCAGAUGUGAAAGUCCACGGCUCAACCGUGGAAGUGCAUUUGAAACUGGUAAGCUUGAGUACUGGAGGGGAUGGUGGAAUUCCCGGUGUAGAGGUGAAAUUCGUAGAUAUCGGGAGGAAUACCGGUGGCGAAGGCGACUUUCUGGCUGAAUACUGACGCUGAGGCGCGUAAGCGUGUGGGGAGCAAACAGGAUUAGAUACCCUGGUAGUCCACGCCGUAAACGAUGUCAACUAGGUGCAGGGGGUGUUGAUCCCCUCUGUGUCGCAGCUAACGCAUUAAGUUGACCGCCUGGGGAGUACGGUCGCAAGAUUAAAACUCAAAGGAAUUGACGGGGGCCCGCACAAGCGGUGGAGUAUGUGGUUUAAUUCGAUGUGCAACGCGAAGAACCUUACCUGGUCUUGACAUCCCGAAAAUUUUCUAGAAAUAGGAAAGUGCUCUCUUUGAGAGAAUUUGGUGACAGGUGCUGCAUGGCUGUCGUCAGCUCGUGUCGUGAGAUGUUGGGUUAAGUCCCGCAACGAGCGCAACCCUCGCCAUUAGUUGCCAGCAUUAAGUUGGGCACUCUAAUGGGACUGCCGGUGUCAAACCGGAGGAAGGCGGGGAUGACGUCAAGUCCUCAUGGCCUUUAUGACCAGGGCUACACACGUACUACAAUGGCCGAUACAACGGGCAGCCACUUCGCAAGAAGGAGCAAAUCCCUAAAAACGGUCUCAGUCCGGAUUGGAGUCUGCAACUCGACUCCAUGAAGUUGGAAUCGCUAGUAAUCGUGGAUCAGCAUGCUACGGU
rnacentral:rRNA from 1 species